GAUGAACGCUGGCGGCGUGCCUAAUACAUGCAAGUCGAGCGAACAGACGAGGAGCUUGCUCCUCUGACGUUAGCGGCGGACGGGUGAGUAACACGUGGAUAACCUACCUAUAAGACUGGGAUAACUUCGGGAAACCGGAGCUAAUACCGGAUAAUAUAUUGAACCGCAUGGUUCAAUAGUGAAAGACGGUUUUGCUGUCACUUAUAGAUGGAUCCGCGCCGCAUUAGCUAGUUGGUAAGGUAACGGCUUACCAAGGCGACGAUGCGUAGCCGACCUGAGAGGGUGAUAGGCCACACUGGAACUGAGACACGGUCCAGACGCCUAAGGGAGGCAGCAGUAGGGAAUCGGACGCAAUGGGCGAAAGCCUGACGGAGCAACGCCGAGUGAGUGAUGAAGGUCUUCGGAUCGUAAAACUCUGUUAUUAGGGAAGAACAAAUGUGUAAGUAAAUAUGCACGUCGUGACGGUAACUAAUCAGAAAGCAACGGCUAACUACGUG
rnacentral:rRNA from 1 species